rnacentral:rRNA from 1 species
UACGUAGGGUGCAAGCGUUGUCCGGAAUUAUUGGGCGUAAAGAGCUCGUAGGCGGUUUGUCGCGUCUGCUGUGAAAACCCGAGGCUCAACCUCGGGCCUGCAGUGGGUACGGGCAGACUAGAGUGCGGUAGGGGAGAUUGGAAUUCCUGGUGUAGCGGUGGAAUGCGCAGAUAUCAGGAGGAACACCAAUGGCGAAGGCAGAUCUCUGGGCCGUAACUGACGCUGAGGAGCGGAAGCAUGGGGAGCGAACAGG